rnacentral:rRNA from 1 species
CCCUUAGAUGUUCUGGGCCGCACGCGCGCUACACUGAUGCAUUCAACGAGUUUCUUCCUGGUCCGAGAGGAAUGGGUAACCUUUUGAAAGUGCAUCGUGAUAGGGAUAGACUAUUGCAAUUAUUGGUCUUCAACGAGGAAUUCCUAGUAGACGUAGUUCAUCAGACUGCAUCGAUUACGUCCCUGCCCUUUGUACACACCGCCCGUCGCUCCUACCGAUUGAAUGCUCAGGUGAGCCAUUCGGACUUUCAUCAUGCUGGUUUCCAGUUUUGAUGAAGGAAAGUCUUGCCAACCUUAUCAUUUAGAGGAAGGAGAAGUCGUAACA